rnacentral:rRNA from 1 species
GACGAACGCUGGCGGCGCGCCUAACACAUGCAAGUCGAACGGAGUAUGAGAAGCUUGCUUUUCAUACUUAGUGGCGGACGGGUGAGUAACACGUGAGCAACCUGCCUUUCAGAGGGGGACAACAGUUGGAAACGACUGCUAAUACCGCAUAACAUUGCGAGGAGGCAUCUCCAUGCAAUCAAAGAUUUAUCGCUGAAAGAUGGGCUCGCGUCUGAUUAGAUAGUUGGUGAGGUAACGGCCCACCAAGUCGACGAUCAGUAGCCGGACUGAGAGGUUGAACGGCCACAUUGGGACUGAGACACGGCCCAGACUCC